GGCGUUGAAUGACGCGGAGGAGCCGACGACGUCGCGGCAGAGCUCUGUGCUCGCGCCACGUAUGCCAUGCCGUCCCGCGCGCCGCGCCCAGCAUCCCGUCGGUCCUCCGGCUCCAUGCUAGAUUUCACACCGGCAGCCGGCGAGUUGCCAGCGAGGAAGGGGAUGGAAGCUAGGGGACUGGCCGAGUGCGUGCGGCGCUAACUGCUCCGGCGCGCCGUGGCGUGAUGGCCGCGACAGACCCCACAAGGGGUGGACGGUAUUUGAGAUACCAACCGGGUGGACUGUAUUUGAGAUACCGAUCACCCUGGUCACCUGCCAGUCGUCCGAUCGAUAUCAUGCGGCCAAGAUCGGCGCGUAGCAGAAGGCUCCUUGCACGAUGUCAGGUGCGCGCGCGGCAGCCGGUGGUCGUGGUCCGAUGGCUCAGGAGAUGCAGCGGCUUCCUGAUCACUCCGGCGGCGGCGGCGGCGGCCGCUGGGGCGUGAGGCGGCGAGCCGUGGCGCAAGGCGCAGCCAUACGUGUUCGCGGAAGUGCCACGCUCGCUCGGGCAGAGGGUUCUCCAUCCCGUUGCCACCGUGUUGAGGGGGGCUCGACCGACCGGGGAGGAGAGGGACGGGGGCGCGGGAGCCGUGGAGAACGAGGACGGGGCGGCCGCGGAUGGCAGCCGAUGCGUCGUCCCCCACGACUGCCGCUCUCGGGGUUCAGAGGUACGCUCGAUUUACUUCUCCCCGAUCUCACAUGCGACGACCUGCUACCUGCGCGGCGUCUCCUCUGUGUCGAGGGCGUUUCGAACUAGAGUAGAGUAGCCUGGCAGUGGCAGGCGAUGCAAUUCAACUUGCAAGAUUCUUACAGCCUCUGAGAGAAGGGGUGGCGCAAGAAGCUGCAGCGCGCUGCUCCAGAGUGUGAUGACACGCUGCACAAAUGCAAUCAGAGAGUCCUUUACUUGAAGAUGAAAACGUGGACACAGCAAGUGAGGAAUUCCAACAUGGCCCUAUCAGCGUCAGCUCCCAGCUGCUUACGGCGGCGCCACCAUAGUCCAUAGCCGCCGGCGGGAGGAAGAGCAGGGACGGAGGCUAGCCAUGGCCAGACGGCCGCGUCUCUCUCCCGGUGGUUCACAGAAUUGAAUGACGCGGAGUGUUAGCAAUAAUCUGGACAUGGGAGUGUUAGCGUGUGUGUGUCAAGUUCAUGUUCAGACUAGGUGCGUGUGUCGAGCUGCAGCAGGUCUGCACCAGGCGCGCGUUAGAGUCCAGAGUUCACAUGCCAUGCAAGUUUGUUGCUGGCAGUGAAUGAGUCGUAGAUGGUUAGGAGUGCAUGUUGCGCGUAGUGUUGAUCCAUGCAGUAGAGGCCGCAACGUCCGGAGUGAGCAGCUUGCGGGGGACGUUGCUGAGCAAGGUAUGCGGAUCGUGGUGUAGGAGUUCGUGGCAUGCAUGUUGGCCAGGUCGUGCGCAUUAGGAGAGUUCGUGCCCGUGAGCGUCAAGUUGCAUGGAUCGUGGGUGAAUGGAGGUAGUGCUCCAGUAUACACGAUGUCCAGGUCUACAAAGGCCGGUGAACUCCAUCGUUGUAACUUGCCAAGUCUAAAAAAAUAAAGUCGCCAAUAUACAGGCUAUUGUUGCGGC